UGAUUGAACGCUGUCCAAGUACUUGACACAUGCUAAUCGAACGACUAAUUAGUUUAAUAAACUGAAUAGUAGUGGUGUACAGGUGAGUAAAAGAUAAUUUGGCUACCUUAAAGUAAGGGAAAAAUCCCUUAUAAAAAGAAAGGAAAAUAAAAAGUCCGCUUUAAGAUGUUAAUCUUUAUCUCGGAAAGUAGUAGGAAAGGUAAUGACUUUUCUAGCUGAAAUCCGUAGUCGUGACUGAGAGGUCGAUCGACCACAUUGGGUCUGAAAAAACCCCAAUGCGUAUUAGUACAGCAGUGAGGAAUAUUGGUCAAUGGCCGAAAGGCUGAACCAGUAACUUGGAAGAAUGUAAGUGUAUUAUAGUAAUACAGUAACGAUUAACUCGUAUAAAAUUCUAAAUAGGAUAAUGAUAAUGACAAUUUCCUAUUUAUAAGUCUUGACCAAAUUACGUGCCAGCAGUCGCGGUAAUACGUAGAAGACUAGUGUUAGUCA
rnacentral:rRNA from 1 species